rnacentral:rRNA from 1 species
AUUGAACGCUGGCGGCAGGCCUAACACAUGCAAGUCGAACGAGUGGCGGACGGGUGAGUAAUGUCUGGGAAACUGACUGAUGGAGGGGGAUAACUACUGGAAACGGUAGCUAAUACCGCAUACCAUCAGAUGUGCCCAGGGGGGAGUAGCUAGUUGGUGGGGUAACGGUGCACCAAGGCGACGAUCCCUCGCUGGUCUGAGAGGAUGACCGGCCACACUGGAACUUAGACACGGUCCAGACUCCUACGGGAGGCAGCAGUGGGGAAUAUUGGACAAUGGGCGAAAGCCUGAUGCAGCCAUGCCGCGUGUGUGAAGAAGGCCUUCGGGUUGUAAAGUACUUUUGGUGGGGAGGCGUUACCCGCAGAGGAAGCACCGGCUAACUCCGUGCCAGCAGCCGCGGUAAUAC